AGUAAGGAAUAUUGGGCAAUGGUCGGAAGACUGACCCAGCCAUGCCGCGUGCAGGAAGAAGGCCCUAUGGGUUGUAAACUGCUUUAGCCAGGGGCUAAACCUACCGAUGCGUUGGUAGCUGAAGGUACCUGGAGAAUAAGCAUCGGCUAACUCCGUGCCAGCAGCCGCGGUAAUACGGAGGAUGCGAGCGUUAUCCGGAUUUACUGGGUUUAAAGGGUGCGCAGGCGGUUGUUUAAGUCAGGGGUGAAAGCCCUAUGCUCAACAUAGGGAUUGCCUUUGAUACUGAACGGCUAGAGUGAAGAUGGAGUGGGUGGAAUGUGUUGUGUAGCGGUGAAAUGCAUAGAUAUAACACAGAACACCGAUCGCGAAGGCAGCUCACUAAUUUUCAACUGACGCUCAUGCACGAAAGCGUGGGGAUCAAACAGGAUUAGAUACCCUGGUAGUCCACGCUGUAAACGAUGAUCACUAGCUGUUGGUACGCUGAAGUAUCAGUGGCUAAGCGAAAGUGAUAAGUGAUCCACCUGGGGAGUACGACCGCAAGGUUGAAACUCAAAGGAAUUGACGGGGGCCCGCACAAGCGGAGGAGCAUGUGGUUUAAUUCGAUGAUACGCGAGGAACCUUACCAGGGCUCGAACGCAGGGGGGAUAUACCUGAAAGGGUAUAGCCAGCGAUGGUCGCCUGCGAGGUGCUGCAUGGUUGUCGUCAGCUCGUGCCGUGAGGUGUCAGGUUAAGUCCUAUAACGAGCGCAACCCCUAUCCAUAGUUGCCAGCGGGUAAAGCCGGGGACUCUAUGGGAACUGCCUGCGCAAGCAGAGAGGAAGGAGGGGAUGACGUCAAAUCAGCACGGCCCUUAUGUCCUGGGCUACACACGUGCUACAAUGGUCGGUACAGAGGGCAGCGACCACGUGAGUGGGAGCCAAUCCUUAAAAGCCGAUCUCAGUUCGGAUUGGAGUCUGCAACCCGACUCCAUGAAGUUGGAUUCGCUAGUAAUCGCGCAUCAGCCAUGGCGCGGUGAAUACGUUCCCGGGCCUUGUACACACCGCCCGUCAAGCCAUGGGAGCUGGGGGUACCUGAAGUUCGUGACCCGCGAGGGAGCGACCUAGGGUAAACUCAGUGACUGGGGCU
rnacentral:rRNA from 1 species